rnacentral:rRNA from 1 species
AUUGAACGCUGGCGGCAUGCCUUACACAUGCAAGUCGACCGGUAACAGGUUAAGCUGACGAGUGGCGAACGGGUGAGUAAUACAUCGGAACGUGCCCAGUAGUGGGGGAUAGCCCGGCGAAAGCCGGAUUAAUACCGCAUACGACCUAAGGGUGAAAGGGGGGGAUCGCAAGACCUCUCGCUAUUGGAGCGGCCGAUGUCAGAUUAGCUAGUUGGUGGGGUAAAAGCUCACCAAGGCGACGAUCUGUAGCUGGUCUGAGAGGACGACCAGCCACACUGGGACUGAGACACGGCCCAGACUCCUACGGGAGGCAGCAGUGGGGAAUUUUGGACAAAGGGCGCAAGCCUGAUCCAGCCAUGCCGCGUGCGGGAAGAAGGCCUUCGGGUUGUAAACCGCUUUUGUCAGGGAAGAAAUCCUUUGGGUUAAUACCUCGGGGGGAUGACGGUACCUGAAGAAUAAGCACCGGCUAACUACGUG